GUCUCAACGAGGAGCUCGGUGAAAUCGUAGUACCUGUGAAGAUGCAGGUUACCCGCGACUGGACGGAAAGACCCCGUGGAGCUUUACUGUAGCUGAUAUUGAAAUUUGGCUCAACUUGGACAGGAUAAGGUGGAGCCCUUGAAACGUGAGCGCCAGCUUACGUUGAGGCGUUGGUGGGAUACCACCCCUGGUGUGUUGGAUUUCUAACCCGCACCAUUUAUCAUGGUGGGAGACAGUGUCAGAUGGACAGUUUGACUGGGGCGGUCGCCUCCUAAAGAGUAACGGAGGUGCGCAAAGGUUACCUUU
rnacentral:rRNA from 1 species